rnacentral:lncRNA from 1 species
GCAAAACAAUGACUGAGGCAGCUACAAUGAUUCCACCAAACCUCAGAAGAUCAAUCGUGGCCUCAAUCAUGAGAACUUUCCACAAUGAGAACUGAGGGUGAUGGAUCUGGAUGCUGAUGAAAACCUUCACAAAUUCCUCUUUUUGGAUGAGGCAGGCUUCAACCUGGCCAAGACAAGGAGGAAUUUCAUUGGCCAGAGGGCAACCAUCCAAGUACCUGGACAACGUGGGGCCAACAUCACCAUGUGUGCGGCUAUAUCGGAAGAUGGUGUGGUGGGACACAGACCUCGCAUUGGCUCAUAUAAUGCAGCUCUCCUUGUGUAACCUUCUUGAUGAGCUAAAUCAGGUCUGUAGAGAUGAUGGCGUGACCUAUGUCAUUGCGUGGGACAAUGUCAGGUUCCACCAUGCUCAAAUGGUGCAAGCAUGGUUUCAGGCCCAUCCACAAUUUACCACCCUGUACUUACCCCCAUACUCUCCUUUCCUUAACCCGAUUGAGGAAUUUUUCUCCACAUGGAGGCGGAAGGUAUAUGAUAGGCGCCCUCACGAACAAGCCACCCUUCUCCAGGCCAUGGAUGACACAUGCAAUGACAUCACGGCAGACCAGUGUCAGGCCUGGAUUCACCAUGCCCGAAGAUUCUUCCCAAGAUGCUUGGCCAAUGAAAACAUCCAUUGUGAUGUGGAUACGAACCUGUGGCCAAAUCCACAAUUGAUGGAAAUAUAGAAGUACAGUAAUCAAUACUUUGUUUUGCUUUUUACAGUAAGCCAGUUGACAUUUUACUGUAGUGUUUUUCUUUUUUGUAGCUAAUUAUUUUUGCUUUGAUUCAAGGAAACCUAUGUUGUGAUUUUAUUGUAUUUCAUCAAUAAAUUUCAGAUUUUGUUCAAUGA